GACAUUUCCAGUGUCAAGUCUAGGGAUGCACCGAUACCGGAUCUGAUAUCUGGCCGAUACUGUCUCAAAUAGCUGGAUCGGAUAUCGGUGACAAUGGGGCCGAUCUAUUAAAUUGAAUUCUAUGUUUCUAUACUAUAUACAUUAUAUACUGAAAUUUUAAUUCCUGUUUAAGUUCUGAAGUUG